rnacentral:lncRNA from 1 species
ACCAUAUGAAAUUUCAAUAAGAUUUCUACUAUUUAGGUAGCGAAACAGUCAACAUCAGGAUUAUGAUAGAAAGGAAGAGGUUAAUAUUCUCACCCAGGCUGAUAAAUGGUUUGAUUGAAGAGAAACAACAACAUACAGUUGCAGCAACCUCCUUUUGUCUCGUUAGGCGAAAGGUCCGGCUUGCUAAGCGAUCCUUCAUGAACAGUCCAAUUUCGUUUGAGUACAGCCAAGCCCCAAACACUUUCUGCAUAAAUUCUGUGUUGAACCCUUCACUUCAAAAAUUCGUACCGACCUCAUUACUCCAUCAAAUCUCACGAGGCUGGGACCAAAUCGACCGGGGUUACGUUAGCUAUCCAUAGAGACAAACCACAUUAAAUUCAGAGUUGUAGAGAGAGAGAAGUCGCCGUUUUGGUGGAACCCUGUCCUAAAUACGAGUUUCACCUUUAUUCUACAACCUUCCCAAAAACCUACCUUGCUUCCUCAUCAUUCAAAGGCCCUCAAAUUGAUAGAAUCCAUCACAAAGAAAAGGAAUUGAGUUCUUUCUUCUUACCUCAAAGUUUCUGAACAUAUAGCACCUCAAUCUCAAUUAGAAUCUUCAACAUGCAAUGGUUUGGUUUGAUGAAAUUUGGGAAUAAAAGGGUUGGGGCUGUUCAGCCCAUUUACAGAGAAAAAGAAGGAAUUGAGGCUUGGAAUUGUCUCUUGAGAGCUCAAAUGCUCAUGGGUUAUGCAAGUAUUGUACAUGCAUUAAGGAUGGGGAAAGAUGAAAUUUGAUCUUGACUCAUGGUGAUUGUGAGAGAUGACCGUGAGAGUGAGAGAAGAAAGAGAUAUUUUGUUUUGCUGGUAGUGAGAAAAUUAGUGGGCUGAAGGGUUAAGGCCUCAUAUAUACUCCAUCACAUUAUAUGAGCAAUUGUCCUAAUUUACAAAAUUGCCAUUAAUACUCUCCACCUCACCUUCUAGUUGUUUAUAACUUAGUAAAUUUUCCUAUUCUUCCCACUUUU